rnacentral:tRNA from 2 species
GGUGGAGUCGCCUAGUGGCCGAGGGCGCACGCCUCGAAAGCGUGUGAUGGGGCAACCCAUCCGUGGGUUCAAAUCCCACCUCCACCGCCA